AAAACAUGGUCUUUUGUUUUAAAUAAAAGAUUUGGCCUGCUCAAUGAUUUAUUAAAUGGCUGCAGUAUUUUGACUGUACAAAGGUAGCAUAAUCAUUUGUCUUUUAAUUGGAGACUAGUAUGAAUGGUCGGAUGAAAUAUAUACUUUCUUUAUAUUAAUUGUAUGAAUUUAACUUUUUGGUAAAAAUGCCAAGAUUUAUCUAAAAGACGAGAAGACCCUAUAGAAUUUUAUUACUUUUAUAUUUAAUUGUUUUGGUUGAUUAUAUUUUUUAAUGUUUAUGGUAAUUAUGUUGGGGUGAUAAAUAAAAUUUAUAAACUUUAUUUAUUUUAUACAAUUAUAUUUGUUUUGUUGAUCCAUAUUUUAUGAUAAUAAGAUUAAAUUACCUUAGGGAUAACAGCGUUAUUACUUUGGAGAGUUCAUAUCGAUGAAGUAGUUUGCGACCUCGAUGUUGGAUUAAAAUUAGUUGUGGGAGUAGAAUUUCAUACACUAGGUCUGUUCGACCUUUAUAUUUUUACA
rnacentral:rRNA from 1 species